UAAACCAAUACUGAAAAUUAAGAGAAGAAAGAAAAUGGAGAGAGUUAAUAAUUAUAAGUGGUGUAUGGCAUUGUUGAUCAUCUGCAUGAUGGUGGCAAUGGCAGCGGCACAGAGCGCCACAGUGAGAUCAACGUAUCAUUUAUAUAACCCACAGAACAUUAACUGGGAUUUGAGAGCAGCAAGCGCUUUCUGCGCUACUUGGGAUGCCGACCAGCCUCUCGCAUGGCGCCAGAAAUAUGGCUGGACUGCUUUCUGCGGUCCUGCUGGACCUCGAGGCCAAGAUUCCUGUGGUAGAUGCUUGAGGGUGGCGAACACAGGAACAGGAACUCAAACAACAGUGAGAAUAGUAGAUCAAUGCAGCAAUGGAGGGCUUGAUUUGGAUGUAAAACGUCUUUAACCAAUUGGACACAAAUGGAGUGGGCAAUCAGCAAGGCCACCUUACUGUCAACUAUGAAUUUGUCAACUGCAAUGACUAAUUAAUCUGCUUCCAGAUAUAUUAAGUACCAUCAUAAAAAACCACAAUAAUUCAUAUAUAUAUACUAGUAUAUCUUAUUUUUCAGACUCGUUUAGAAUAAGAAGGGGCUGAGCUAGCUUUUAAUAUAGUAUAGUAAUUAUCUGAAAGCUCUACAUGCCCUUCACUAUUAAUUAAUAAAAUAAAAACUUGUUCUUGUUGUUAGUGCUAUAUGGAGUGAAUGAAUGAAGCACCACUUAACAUGAUCA